rnacentral:tRNA from 1 species
GGGGAUAUAGCUCCAUGGUAAGAGUGCCUGCCCAGCAUGUACAAGUAAGUACCUGGGUUCAAUCCCCAGUACUUCCA